GGGGCUGAUUCUGGAUUCGACGGGAUUUGCGAAACCUAAGGUGCAUGCCGAGGGGCGGUUGGCCUCGUAAAAAGCCGCAAAAAAUAGUCGCAAACGACGAAAACUACGCUUUAGCAGCUUAAUAACCUGCUUAGAGCCCUCUCUCCCUAGCCUCCGCUCUUAGGACGGGGAUCAAGAGAGGUCAAACCCAAAAGAGAUCGCGUGGAAGCCCUGCCUGGGGUUGAAGCGUUAAAACUUAAUCAGGCUAGUUUGUUAGUGGCGUGUCCGUCCGCAGCUGGCAAGCGAAUGUAAAGACUGACUAAGCAUGUAGUACCGAGGAUGUAGGAAUUUCGGACGCGGGUUCAACUCCCGCCAGCUCCACCA
rnacentral:tmRNA from 1 species